GAUGAACGCUAGCGAUAGGCUUAACACAUGCAAGUCGAGGGGUAACGUGUUGGAAGCUUGCUUCCGAUGACGACGACCGGCGGAUGGGUGCGUAACGCGUAUGCAACUUGCCUCACAGUGGAGAAUAACCCGGAGAAAUCCGGACUAAUGUUCCAUACACUCUUAAGUACUCCUGUACAUGAGAGGAAAGAUUUAUCGCUGUGAGAUAGGCAUGCGUCCUAUUAGGUAGUUGGUGAGGUAACGGCUCACCAAGCCGACGAUAGGUAGGGGUGCUGAGAGGCAGAUCCCCCACAUUGGGACUGAGACACGGCCCAAACUCCUACGGGAGGCAGCAGUGAGGAAUAUUGGUCAAUGGAGGAAACUCUGAACCAGCCAAGUCGCGUGAAGGAAGAAUGUCCUAAGGAUUGUAAACUUCUUUAGCGAGCGAGUAAGGACUUCCACGUGAUGGGUGUUUGAAAGUAGCUCGAGAAUAAGUAUCGGCUAACUCCGUG
rnacentral:rRNA from 1 species